AUGUCACGUUGAAAAACCGGUUCCCGUACUAUUAACGAAGUUAAGCAAUGUCGAGCCUGUUUAGUACCUAGAUGGGUGCCUGCUUAGGAAAACCAGCUGCUGUAGU